AUCGCUUCUCGGCCUUUUGGCUAAGAUCAAGUGUAGUAUCUGUUCUUAUCAGAUACUCGGCCUUCUCGGCCUUUUGGCUAAGAUCAAGUGUAGUAUCUGUUCUUAUCAGAUGCUGUUUCGAUCUUGCUUAUAAGACCCUGACUGCGAUCGCCUCCUGCACUGUCUGAGCCUGUGCCUGUCUGU